rnacentral:lncRNA from 1 species
UUCUGUACCCUUGGUCUCUGUAGAAAAUUUAUUUAGAGGUCAGUAUAAUCUCUACGCGGCAGAUGACCACAUGUGUCCAUUGCUUAGACUUGUUCGGUGGUCUUGUAAACCGAGCCGGCCUUGAAGUCAGCAGGGAUCGCAUUAUCGACAACACGGUAGCCACCACCCUUCGCAAGGAAGCGGAAGGCGAUAGGUCCCUCAAUCGGCUCCUUGCUGUCGAGCGUAAAAGUCUUAGGCUCUGACUCCUUGAGGUCGUCCGUGAAAUCCGUGGCUCCCUUGGGCUUGACCGACACCUCGGAGAUGGCGACGUUGGUGAUAAGGGAUAAUUUGGUGGAGGUGGAGUCCUUACCGACCUCGAUGGUGAGCGUAGUGCCGCACGAGCCGAUGGCAAACAAUGCCGCCAAUGCCACCACCGCGAGUAGGAAGCAGAAGGACGAUGAGGAGGCCAUUGGUGAGCUAGAAAGUAGCAAGUUGGCAGAACCUUCUUGUUUAUUUCUUGAUCGAUGGAGAGGGAUGGAUGGAUGUGGGUGAUGUGUGUGGCGAUCGAUAUUGUAGUUGGCCGCUGCGUAUUUAUGGGUAGUGGAGGCAAGCAAACAAGGCAUGGUCGUACGGUGAGCCGCAUAGAUUGCUGGUUGGCUUGUUAAUCGACGGACACUUGUUCAACUGCCACAAAUAGAUUUGGGCUAGGCAUUUCUGAUUGUCUUCCUGUCAGCCUAAAAAUUUGCAGGACAUCAAUAUAGACUUCUCAGAAAGCACAAGCAUGGAACCCUCAAUAUUUUUAUAAUACUAUUUUUAGAGUAUAAUGCAGCACGAGUAAUAAUUCCUAUUGUCACACUUAAACAAAAUUAGUGAUCCUUGUAUCCCAAAAUAUACAAGGCACACCCAUUUCAAAAUUCAAAUUUGUUAACUUUUGACCAACACCGGUCUGCGUAUACUGCAAUCUAUACCUAGUCUGUCUAUCUAUAUCACAAUUAUUAUUGUACUAUAAAAGUGCAAAACGAUAAAAGAAUACCACCCACCUAGCUAAUCCCUGUAACUUCUGUACUCUCCAACCCACUUAAAAUGUCCGAUUGCAGGGAUAUAAAUAGCCCUAAGCGAGCCAACAUGCUGCUCGAGUGGUCAUACUUCAUGAGAACACCGCAUGAUAUGUUGAAACAAAUGCCGAUACAGAAUUAUCCUAUGAAUACAACUGGAUAUUGCACCAAUGAAAAAUGGUAAUAUUUUUUCUGAACAUCGGAUCGUAUUGUGGCACAAAAAAUGGUCACGAAUGGAUCAUUAUGUGAUGUCAUAAUACUUUGUGCUUUGCUUCUUGUUGUUGGCAGAUGAUAUAGUUAGACCUAAUCAAAUGCUAUAUUGAGGCCAAAAUGAUUGUCGUGGUAAAUAAUUUUGGCCAGUCUCACCUGUUGGACACGUCAGGCUAGUCAGUGCUAAUUCUUGGGUUCUCCAAGGUUGGGUCAGCGUAGUGGUAAAAUAAUAGUUCAAGCCCACAGAAUGCACUUGUUUGGUCAAGGUGUACCAUGAGCAAGUCGUGCAAUGAUCCUAAAAUGCUUCAAAUGGGAUCAUCCUUUGAAACUAUUUUCAGCAAACUGCCUUCUCAAUUGUUUGGUCACUACUUCUUGCUUUGAACUUUUUUUUUCAAAUAUACUACCAGAAAACUGAGUAUCCUUGAGGGCCAGCAAUUUCCUUGAGGGGCGAAAUUAAACCCCCAAGGAUAUACAAUUACCUUGAGGGUUGUAUAAAACCCCCAAGAAAAUGCAUAUUCUUGAGUGCUAAACCAAACCGCCAAGUUAAAUCUAUAUUUCCUUGAGUGCUAGUUGAAACCGCCAAGGUAAUUCUAUGUUUCCUUGAGUGUUAUUAUAAACCACCCAAUGUAAUUAACAUUUCCUUGGGUGUAACUAGAAACCGCCAAGGAAGUUUUAGUUUCUUUGGGUGUAAACUCUCAAGUAAAUUAUUACAGCUGCCAAGGAAAAAACAGUUUAGUCAUAUUUCUCUUAACCACUAGUAAACUCAUUGCAUUCUUGUUAGUUAGACGUUGCAUUUUAUAGACAUAAACGCUCAUGUUUGGAAAAUGAUAUAUAAUUUUUGUUAGUAAAUUAAUCCAAUAAAAGUUAUAAUUUUGUGUUGUUAUGCAUUAGAGAAUGCAUAUACUAGCACUUAGCUUGAGAUAUGCCUGCUUAUUUUAAAGCUAAAAUGUAACAUAAUAUCGUAUGGAGGCAAAGUUUAUAUCAAAGUUAUAGAGCCCGAAGAGAUAUACAACUUCUUAGUUGAUGAAAUUUUCAUUUGAAAUUAUUUGAGGUCAUAAAAUAUGUUUUAAAUUAUUAGAACUUUAAACUUUAAAUUUUUUGAAUCUUUCAAAUGACCUUAGAUAGAGAUACAACCUAAACCAAAGUUAUAGUACUCGAUGAGAUAUAAAACUUUAUAAUUCAAACUUUUUUCAUUUGAAAUCAUUUAGGUUCUCAAAUAUUCAUUACAAAAUCCACUAAAGUGAAAACAAAAAGAAAGAAACAUUCACUUAGUCACAAAAGACUUCGUGGUGUAGUGGUAAGUUAGUUUCACAUGAAACAUGAAGUCAUGAGUUCGAUUCUCAGCUACAACAAAUACAAGAUUGUUUCUCUUUUUUUCCAUGCAUAUCCUUGAGGGUCAUCGGCACUCAAGAAAACAUCUAUCCUUGGGUGUUUUUAUAUUUUCUUGGGUGCCAUCGGCACUCAAGGAAACCUAUAUCCUUGGGUGUUUUUACAUUUUUUUGAGUGUCAUUGGCACUCAAGGAAACCUAUAUCCUUGGGUGUCGUUACAUUUUCUUGACGAUGUUAAAAAUCUAACCACUGAUUUAUUUUCUUGACGGUUUAACCCUCAAGGAAUUGAUUUGUGGCGGCCGACACUUAAGGAAAUAGUAUUUCCUUGUCUCUCUACCCUUGGCGGCCAUUCCUUGAGUGCUAGCCGCCAAUAUUGAUUUUCUUGACGAUUUUAGGGGUUUCCUUGAGGGUUUUUGACCCUCAAGGGUAUUCAGUUCGUGCUUUGUAAGAUUCUACAAAAAUAUUUCACUUGACUAAUAAAAAUUCAUACUUGCUCAUCAUGUGAAGACCAAAAUGUUGUGCGCUUUGAUGCUUCGGUAUUUGAGCCAGAGCUCUUUCUUCCAAACAUUGUUUAUAUGGCCGCACUGUCCAUGUGAAUUUUCUAAAGUAAUUUACUAGAUUAUGCAAAAGUACUAGGUCCAAACGAUCAUAUAAUCACAUGAACAUUCGAAUGUUGCGCACACUUUGAUGUUUUGGGAUUUUUCUAAAUCUAUCUCCUUCAGACUUAGUUUUAGUGCUCCUUACUCUUCUUCGAAAGCUUGUAGAAAUAUUUAAUUACAACUUGAACCUAACAACAUAAGUUUUUAUAUACUCUAAAUCUAACUUCAUAAGACAAGUCCUAUUUAUUCUUCUUUUUAUCAUGACUUUAAUAUCUUUCGGUGAUCUAAGAAAAGUCAUCGAACACAUCUUAGCAUAUGUAUAUGUUAGUCCGAGUGAUUGGGUUACCAUUUCAAUCACCGAAACCAUUAAGAGUUGUGGCUAGGUCCAUGUAUCUAUAGUGAUUAUCAGGGAUGGUGACAUAAGAUGCCCGCCCUAUUAAUAGUAACAUUUAAUUACAUAGGUCGGCACAAGUGGCGACUUGGUCAUUCUUCCUCUAUAAUCGUAGAAAAGGUCUAUGCCGAUUGAUCCUUUCCUCAUUAGCUUGGUAUUAUCUUAGACAAAAAUAGUUACAAUCAGAGAAGUAUAUGAAUGUUAGGAAACAACAAGGAACAUGCAACGUGCAUUGCAUAAAAACAAAACAGUGACGACUAGCCCCUAGCCAACAUAAAACUAUAGUCAAAUUUUACUAAAACAAAUAAAAUUCAAGAUUCCAAAACUUGCCAUCUUUAUACGGAAUAUUCUAGGUCCUCUUUUUUGCGGGUUUGAUUUUAUUAUUUGGCCUAUUUAGAAUCCUAGUCAUUUAUUGGAACACACUCUUUUUUUUGUGAGACACAGUUACAGACGCAGACGCUCACAAACACGAGCGUGUACUCACCCCUAUGAACGCACGCACGCACACCCCACCCCUAUGAGCACCUCCAAAGAACCGAGUUGGUCAGGCAAAUCUCGAGAUUGAUGAAGUCACCAUAGGCGCCUUGCUGUGGACGGUCACAUCGCCUACCACUGGAAGCAUAGCGCCGUUAAAUCCUAGAAAAAAUGUAGGAAAAUGCGUGCACCCGUGUCAAGUCAAGUCAGGGACUUGAACCCGGGUGGGUUGGUUCCACCACAAUAAACUCAACCAGCUAAUCUACGAUCAGUUCGCUCGGAACACACCCCUUGACAAUGCAACAUAGUGACGGCUAUAUGAGAAUACUCAUAAAGUUAAAUUAUGUAUUCGUUGGUUUGUGAUAAUAGUUUCAUGUCAUGGUUUGGUCCAUUUAGCAAUUAUAGUGUUGAAAAACAUCACGCGUAAAUUGAUAUUCCCUAGCAUUUCUUCCAUGCUACACAAGGUAAACAUGCUUCAUCGAUUCUUACAUACAUAUAGUUAUUAGAAGUUUAGAAAACCAAAGUAGACGGCCACUAUUUUACCAUACAUAAACAAUAUUCUAAAGUGUGUGCAUAUAGCUCCACAACAUGUGGGCCCGAGAACAUAGUAUACUUUAUUUGGUGGUAGCCUACCUCUAAAUAAUCAUAGAAAAUGAAUUUUUGGUAUGCUCAUUCUGUACCCUUGGUCUCUGUAGAAAACUUAUUUAGAGAUCAAUAUAAUCUCUAUGCGGCAGAUGACCACAUGUGUCCAUUGCUUAGACUUGUUCGGUGGUCUUGUAAACUGAGCCAGCCUUGAAGUCGGCAGGGAUCGCAUUAUCAACAACACGGUAGCCACCACCCUUCGCAAGGAAGCGGAAGGCGAUAGGUCCCUCGAUCGGCUCCUUGCUGUCGAGCGUAAAAGUCUUGGGUUCUGACUCCUUGAGGUCGUCCGUGAAAUCCGUGGCUCCCUUGGGCUUGACCGACACCUCGGAGAUGGCGACGUUGGUGAUAAGGGAUAAUUUGGUGGAGGUGGAGUCCUUACCGACCUCGAUGGUGAGUGUAGUGCCGCACGAGCCGAUGGCAAACAAUGCCGCCAAUGCCACCACCGCGAGUAGGAAGCAGAAGGACGAUGAGGAGGCCAUUGGUGAGCUAGAAAGUAGCAAGUUGGCAGAACCUUCUUGUUUAUUUCUUGAUCGAUGGAGAGGGAUGGAUGGAUGUGGGCGAUGUGUGUGGCGAUCGAUAUUGUAGUUGGCCGCUGCGUAUUUAUGGGUAGUGGAGGCAAGCAAACAAGGCAUGGUCGUACGGUGAGCCGCAUAGAUUGCUGGCUGGCUUGUUAAUCAACGGACACUUGUUCAAUUGCCACAAAUAGAACUGGGCUAGGCAUUUCCGAUUGUCUUGCUGUCAGUCUAAAAAAUUGCAGGACAUUAAUGCAGACUUCUCAGAAAGCACAAGCACGGAACCCUCAAUAUUUUUAUAAUUCUAUUUUUAGAGUAUAAUGCAGCACGAGUAAUAAUUCCUGUUGACACACUUAAACAAAUUUAGUGAUCCUUGUAUCCCAAAAUAUAAAAGGCACACCCAUUUCAAAAUUCAAAUUUGUUAACUUUUUGACCAACUAUGGUCUGCGUAUACUGCAAUCUAUACCUAGUCUACCUAUCUAUAUCACAGUUAUUAUUAUACUAUAAAAGUGCAAAACAAUAAAAGAAUACAACCCACCCAGCUGGGUCCGACCCACCCACUGUAUAGUCUCAUGGAUGUGUUUUCAAAGUUUAGUAUUAGUGCACUAAAAACUUCCACGCUGGCCUAAGGACUGGCCUGGAUUGAAACAAUCCCUUUACAAUGUGUAUUCUAUUCUAAUUUUCUCCGAUCGUGCCAAGGCCUGGUUUUUUUUAACCCAGAACGGCAAUUUGAUAUAGUUACGAAGCUCUCACAUAAGAUUGGAGUGUAUCAUCCUCAAGUCUAGCUAGUCCCUAUAACUUCUCAACCCACUUAAAAUGUCUGAUUGCAGGGAUAUAAAUAGCCCUAAGCGAGCCAACAUGCUGCUCGAGUGGUCAUACUUCAUGAGAACACCGCAUGAUAUGUUGAAACAAAUGCCGAUACAGAAUUAUCCUAUGAAUACAACCGGAUAUUGAAUGAAAAAUGGUAAUAUUUUUUCUGAACAUCGGAUCGUAUGGUGGCACAAAAAAUGGUCACGAAUGGAUCAUUAUGUGAUGUCAUAAUACUUGUGCUUUGUUUCUUGUUGUUGGCAGAUGAUAUAGUUAGACCUAAUCAAAUGCCAGAUCGAGGCCAAAAUGAUUGCCGUGGUAAAUUAUUCUGGCCAUUCUCACCUGUUGGACACGUCAGGCUAGUUAGUACUAAUUCUUGGGUUCUCCAUGGUUGGCUCAGGGUACUGGUAAAAUAAUGGUUCAAGCCCACAUAAUGCACUUGUUUGGUCAAGGUGUCCCAUGAGCAAGUCGUGCAAUAAUCCUAAAAUGCUUCAAAUCGGAUCAUCCUUUGAAACUAUUUUCAGCAAACUGCCUUCUCAAUUGUUUGGUCACUACUUCUUGCUUUGAACUUUUUUUCAAAUAACCUUGUAUAGUAUUGAAAUCUUGUGACGUGCUUUGGAAGAUUCUACAAAAAUAUUUCACUUGACUAAUAAAAAUUCAUACUUGAUCAUCAUGUGAAGACCAAAAUGUUGUGCACUUUGAUGCUUCAGUAUUUGAGCCGGAGCUCUUUCUUCCUAAUAUUGUUUAUAUGGCCGCAUUGUCCAUGUGAAUUUUCUAAAUUAAUUUACUAGAUUAUGCAAAAGUACUUGGUCCAGCGAAUUAAAAUGACCAUAUAUUCACGUGAACAUUCGAGUGUUGCGCACACUUUGAUGUUUUGGUAUUUUUCCAAAUCUUUCUUCUAUAGACUUAGUUUUAUUGGUCUUUACUUGUUCGAAAGCUUGUAAAAAUAUUUACAACUUCAACAUAACAACAUAUAGUUUUUAUAUACUCUAAAUCUAACUUCAUAAGACAAGUCCUAUUUAUUCUUCUUUUUACAUGAAUUUAAUAUCUUAGAGUGAUCUAAGAAAAGUCAUCGAAUGCAUCUUAGCAUAUGUACAUGUUAGUCCGAGUGAUUGGGUUACCAUUUCAAUCACCGAAACCAUCAAGAGUUUUGGCUAGGUCCAUGUAUCUAUAGUGAUUAUCAGAGAUGGUGACAUAAGAUGCCCGCCCUAUAAAUAGUAACAUUUAAUUACGUAGGUGGGCAUUGUCAUUCAUUAUGCUCUCCUUAUUUUGAUUUUGCACAAGCGGCGACUUGCUUUUCUUCCUCUAUAAUUAUAAAAAAGGUCUAUGCCGAUUGAUCCUUUUCUCAGAAGCUUGGUUUUAUCUCAGACAAAAAUAGUUACAAUCAGAGAAGUAUAUGAAUGUUAGGAAACAACAAGGAACAUGCAACGUGCAUUGCAUUAAAACAAAAAAAAAUCGUUCGCCCUGACUAGCCCCUAGCCAACAUAAAACUAUUGUCAAAAUUUAUUAAAACAAAUAAAAUUCAAGAUUCCAAAACUUGCCAUCUUUAUACGAAAUAUUCUAGGUCCUCUUUUUUGCUGGUUCAAUUUUAUUAUUUGGCCUGUUUAGAAUCCUAGUCACUUAUUGGAACACACUCAUUUUUCGCAGACUUUCACAAACACGAGCGUGCACUCACUCUUAUGAACACAUGCACACACACCCUACCCUAUGAGCACCUCCGAAGAACCGAGUUGGACCGGCAAAUCUCGAGAAUGAUGAAGUCACCAUAGGCGCCUUGCUGUGGACAGGCACAUCGCGUACCACUGAAAGCUUAGCGCCGUUAAAUCCUAGAAUAAAUUCAAGAAAAUGCGUGCACCCGUGUCAAGGUAGGUACUUGAACCUGGGUGGGCUGGUUCCACCACAAAAAAUUGAACCAGCUAAUCUACGAUCAGUUCACUCGGAACACACCCCUUGACAAUGCAACAUAGUGACGACUAUAUGAGAAGACCUUUUCAUAAAGUUAAAAUAUGUAUUAGUUGGUUUGUGAUAAUGGUUUCAUGUCAUGGUUUGGUCCAUUUAGCAAUUAGAGUUGAAAAACAUCACGUGUAAAUUGAUAUUCCAUAGCAUUUCUUCCAUGCUACACAAGGUAAACAUGCUUCAUCGAUUCUUACAUACAUAUAUUUAUUAGAAGUUUAGAGAACCAAAGUACACAACCACUAUUUUACCAUACAUAAACAAUAUUGUAAAGUGUGUGCAUAUAGCUCCAAAGCAACACGUGGGAGAACAUAGUAUACUUUAUUUCGUGGUAGCCUACCUCUAAAUAAUCAUAGAAAAUGAAUUUUUGGCAUAAUCAUUGUGUACCCUUGGUCUCUGUAGAAAAUUUAUUUAGAGGUCAAUAUAAUCUCUGCGCAGCAGAUGACCACAUGUGUCCAUUGCUUAGACUUGUUCGGUGGUCUUGUAAACUGAGCCGGCCUUGAAGUCGGCAGGGAUCGCAUUAUCGACAACUCGGUAGCCACCACCCUUCGCAAGGAAGCGGAAGGCGAUAGGUCCCUCGAUUGGCUCCUUGCUGUCGAGCGUAAAAGUCUUGGGUUCUGACUCCUUGAGGUCGUCCGUGAAAUCUGUGGCUCCCUUGGGCUUGACCGACACCUCGGAGAUGGCGACGUUGGUGAUAAGGGUUAAUUUGGUGGAGGUGGAGUCCUUACCGACCUCGAUGGUGAGCGUAGUGCCGCAUGAGCCGAUGGCAAACAGUGCCGCCAAUGCCACCACCACGAGUAGGAAGCAGAAGGACGAUGAGGAGGCCAUUGGUGAGCUAGAAAGUAGCAAGUUGGCAGAACCUUCUUGUUUAUUUCUUGAUGGAUGGAGAGGGAUGGAUGGACGUGGGCAAUGUGUGUGGCGAUCGAUGUUGUAGCUGGCCGCUGCGUAUUUAUGGGUAGUGGAGGCAAGCAAACAAGGCAUGGUGGUGUGGUCAGCCGCAUAGAUUGCUGGUUGGCUUGUUAAUCGACGGACACUUGUUCAAUUGCCACAAAUAGAACUGGGCUAGGCAUUUCCGAUUGUCUUGCUGUUAGUCUAAAAAGUUGCAGGACAUCAAUGUAGACUUCUCAGAAAGCACAAGCACGGAACCCUCAAUAUUUUUAUAAUUCUAUUUUUAGAGUAUAAUGCAGCAUGAGUAAUCAUUCCUGUUGACACACUUAAACAAAUUUAGUGAUCCUUGUAUCCCAAAGUAUACAAGGCACACCCAUUUCAAAAUUCAAAUUUCUUAACUUUUUGACCUGCACUGGUCUGCGUAUACUGCAAUCUAUACCUAGUCUAUCUAUCUAUAUCACAGUUAUUAUUAUACUACAAAACCAUAAAAGAAUACAACCCACCCAACUAGGUCCCACCCACCCACUGUCUAGUCUCAUGGACGUGUUUUCAAAGUUUAGUAUUUGUGCACUAAAAACUUCCACUCUGACCUAAGCACUGGCCUGGAUUGAAACAAUCCCUUUAUAAUGUGUAUUCUAUUCUAAUUUUCUCCGUGACAAAGACCUGUUUUUUUAACCUAGAACGGCAAUUUGAUAUAGUUAUGAAGCUCUCACAUAAGAUUGGAGUGUAUCAUCCUCAAGUCUAGCUAGUCCCUAUAACUUCUCAACCCACUUAAAAUGUCUGAUUGCAGGGAUAUAAAUAGCCCUAAGCGAGCCAACAUGCUGCUCCAGUGGUGAUACUUCAUGAGAACACCGGAUGAUAUGAUGAAACAAAUGAAGACACAGAAUUAUCCUAUGAAUACAACCGGAUAUUGCACUAACGAAUGGAUCAUUAUGUGAUGUCAUAAAAAAUGGUCACGAAUGGAUCAUUAUGUGAUGUCAUAAUACUUGUGCUUUGUUUCUUGUUGUUGGCAGAUGAUAUAGUUAGACCUAAUCAAAUGCUUGAUCGAGGCCCAAAUGAUUGCCGUGGUAAAUUAUUUUGGCCAUUCUCACCUGUUGGACACGUCAGGCUAGUUAGUGCUAAUUCUUGGGUUCUCCAAGGUUGGGUCAGGGUACUGGUAAAAUAAUGGUUCAAGCCCACAUAAUACACUUGUUUGGUCAAGGUGUCCAAUGAGCAAGUCGUGCAAUGAUCCUAAAAUGCUUCAAAUCGGAUCAUCCUUUGAAACUAUUUUCAGCAAACUGCCUUCUCAAUUGUUUGGUCACUACUUCUUGCUUUGAAAUUUUUUUCAAAUAUCCUUGUGUAGUAUUGAAAUGUUGUGACGUGCUUUGUAAGAUUCUACAAAAAUAUUUCACUUGACUAAUAAAAAUUCAUACUUGAUCAUCAUGUGAAGACCAAAAUGUUGUGCACUUUGAUGCUUCAGUAUUUGAGCCAGAGCUUGUAAUACCCGAUUUUAAGGACAAAACCAGAUAUGCACCAUAUGUGAGUUUUAGAAACCAAAUCUCACAUAUAGCUACAAAUAAGGGGUAAUAUCAAAAGACAAUGCGUAAAUAUAUAACGUACUUAGUAUAAAAGAGAUAACCUUUAAUAGCAAACAACGGAUCGACAACUCCAACUUCGGGUAUUAACUUCUCUCCACAGGAUCCAACUGACUGGUUGAUCACAAGCCUAAACUUCUCCUGAGGUUUGGGGGAAAUAGCAAGAGUGAGUCCAUGUCGAACUCCACAAGUAUAGCAACUAGAUUGUAUAACUUCCACAAUCUCAUGACCAAUGUGACAUAAAUAAUGUAAAUCAUUAAACAGUAAACAAUGAGCAUAUUUAACACACAAGAUUCAUCAUCCUUAAUGUAGAUGUCCCCAAGGCCGCUCCUGACCGUGAGCUCGGCUAGUAUACUAGUUUUUAACCCUCUGCAGAGGUUGCACAUCUUUACCCAUGAGUCAUGAUUUACCCUUUCGCCCGAGGUGAUCAGCCUCUUAACCCACUUCCAAGGAAGGUCGGCAGGGAUCACUAUGAAGCAUUUCAAAAGUUCGUCUAACAUGUUAGGGCCGCAAGGUUUCCUUUGCGCGCAGAUAUAGAGCCCCCCUUCCGAUGGCACAAUGACGCGCAGCCUAUACACAUACAGACAGAGGCCACACUAUACCCAAAACGGUUCAGCCCCUCCGCCCUUUCGGGUAACCUCUAACAAGCUAGAAAAGGUCUUCAUACUGAGCUAAAGCCAGAGCCAUUAUAGCCCUCAUGGUUGCACUGUUGUCCCGGGUGAUCACGUACAGACAAAUCAUCAAGUUGCUAAAAAGUCAUUUUUAUCGUUUAUUACUUAACAUUAAUCUAGUCACAGGAUCAUGGUCACAGAAAUAAAAUCCAAAUACUAUACUUGCCUUAAUCCAAUUGCUCUUGCUUAUCCUUUUGGUCCUGUUGGUCUCACAUAUCCAAAACUCUGAUCUUGAUCACCAAAAACUGCUCUCCGUCUAAACUCGAUCAUCGAUCACACAAACAAUCGAAGAAAACAUACACGAAGCAAACAAGGCUACAAUUAGAACAGUACACCAAACAUAUAAAAACAGUAUGAAAAGUUUAUAAAAUGAUUCUACACAUCGCUACGAUCUCGCAGAUGUAGAUCACGAAAAUCGGAGCUAAAACGGAAAAGUUAUGAAUUUUCUAAGAUUUUCUAUAGAAAAUAAAUUAAUUAAAUAUAUAAACUCAUAACGUGACAAAUAUUGUUGCUAACUCAUACCCUUCAAGUUGGUGUGGCCACAACGCAACGAAAACAUAAUUAAAACUCUAGAUUAAUUUUCAUUAGAAAGCUAUUGAUUAAAUAUUAAAUAAAUUACGUUUAAAUCAAUAAAUUCAGAAUUGAGUUACACAAUAAAAGUUUAUACUACUGUGUAGAGUACGUCGAUACGAAUCCAACGCAACUUAAACCACUCAAAUCGGUCGUAAAACGAAUAAACGGCAGGGAUUAAACGAGCAGGGGCAAAACCAUAAUUACCUGUUUCUUCUACCUUGAGCUGCUCGUACAGAACGUGGUGGCCUCUAUGACCAUGGUCGAUCGGAACUCUGCUGGCCGCAUGAAGCAGGGGCUGUGCAGGUGACCAACGAGGGGUGGAAACCAUAGCGUGUCCGGCCGAUGGCCUUGGUGCGGUGGAUGGAGCGCACCCAGCCCAUGCACACGGGGAGAGGGAGCAGGGCCGGCCGGCGGCACUGCCGACGUGCUGCUGCUGCAUCGGACGGCCUAGUAGGCACACCAGGGCGCCGGGAAGGAACCUAGCAGCAAUGAUUUGGAGCCCGCAGAAGCAACUGUCCAGGAGGAUCACGACCGCGACAUGACAUGGCAGAAAACAACAAGAAGAAGAGCAUCCAUCGUGAGUUCACCGGAACAGUUCAUCGGAAAAGAGAAAACGAAAGGCAAACUAUCAAACAGGGUCGGUUUGAUGUAAAUAAGGACACUACAGUGAAGAGAAUAACGAGACGAACCUAGUACUGGUAUUAGUUUUCGCCGGGACACGUAGAGAUGGCCGGAAAACUUCGCCGAACGUUCGCCGGAAGUUCGUCGGAGUUCUAGGUUUCGAAACUUCGGCUUUAGAUCUAGGACGACAGGAGUGGCGGCUCGGAAAAGUGGUCGUACUUUUGGAAUCAGCGCGUCAAGGGCUACGCCGGCAUAUAUAUAGUGUUAGGGUUUGACGUCAUGGAAAAAUUGGAUAUUUUAUUAUUUUCGGAAUCAAUUAAUUUCGUGAAUAAAAAUAAUUCCAAAAAAAAAUCCAGAAUUGAUAUCUAGGGUCUAAAAAAAAUACUAUGAAGGCUCCAAAAAUUUGGGGAGAAUUCUUAGAGACACUUUAGAAUAUGAGGAAUCUAAAUGAAGUAUUUGGAGCUCGUGAUAAGAUAAUUUGGAGAAUCUAAAAAUUAGAUUAAGCUCACGGGAAAGGCCGGAAAAAUUCUCAAGAAUUUUUGUAGUGAUCUCUUGAUGGAUGAGAAACUGAAAGGAGUGACUUAGGUUUGAAAGAAAAUAUUCUGAGAGACUCUGAAUGAAAUCUUGAGCUGAGAGACAAGGAAUUUGAUUGUAGAAAAAAAAUAUAUAUGCCCAAGAAGGAAGAUCGAUCUAAUAAACGUAUUUUAAAUAUUUUUCUUACUAUCAACACAUAAAGGAGCAACAAGCAUCACUUCAAAGCAUAUGCACCAGCAUGUAUGCAUAAUAAUAUUGCUAUGCCUUAUAAUAAAUUUUAAUUUAAUAAAAAAUAUUAUUUUUCCUAUAUUUUCAUGAGCACAAAAAUACAAAAUUAAAUAAUUUUAUCUAUAUUUAAAAAGGAAUAAAUUUUAGGGUGUUACAAUUCUACCCCCCUUAAGAUGAAUCUCGUCCUCGAGAUUCAGAAGACGGUUAUCAAAGAGACGUAGAUUUUGAAUCUUGUUCACUUUCUUGAGUAGUUAUAUCUUCAUAGCAUUGAUUCCACUCUCUUACUCCAAGUAGCCUCUCAAGUAUUCCUAAAAUAUUGACGAGACACCUAGUGUAGCAGGUACGAUCCUUCUUUAAACUUAUUUCUCCUAUCCUUUUUAGACCCUACACAUCAUAUAGUCUUUUAAAUUCGCUGUACCGAGUCUCUUUAUCCAAGGUUAGUUUCAUCACUAAGUUCCAAUUAUCGGUACCUUUAUCACAGUUAAGUUGCUUCACUCUCACACUAUACAUACAACUCUGUAGACUUUGGUGUCAUCUGAUCCUCAUACACAACUCUUAAUCCAUGAGUAUCAGUAAUGACAUAACCUUCCAUUGGUAUUAGCACACUCCAAAUAGAAUGAUAUCUUGAAACAAACCAACAUACCAAGCACUUGAUGUCCUCGUAGAUGUUCGAGUUAUUAACCACUUCUUCUCCUUAUAGUUCUUUAAUUAGGCUACCCCCCUUAAGAAAAGUCAACUAAGGGACCAAGAAAGGUAGCUUCCAUACUUUCCAGACAGGUUAACUUAACAUUGAGAACCUCUGACACUCCAAAGAACUUAUGUGCAAUAGAGCAAACAGGUAUCCUGAAAUUUCCUCGCGAUAUGAAAAACACCAGCGUAGUAAAAUGGACAUAACUCUUAUUCUAUGAAUCCAAUAGAGUUGUGGCUUAUACCGUUAGAACACUUAUGAAAUUUCCAGCAACUUUCCUGUAGAAGACCUCCUUAGGUUCUGUCUUUAAGCUCAGGUAAAACAACCAAACUUAAUAUCCAUCCUGAAAAUGUCUCAGCAAAGGUGCAGUAACUUCCAGAAGUUAUAUCUAGAGCUCCUUAACUCAUCUGGAGAUGAUCCUUACAUUUUUGAAAAGGUUGGGAAAUUCUCUACAAGUUUCGUAUACCACGUUUUCCCAGAUUCUGUCUUUAACUUGGCUGAAAAAUUAGAAAUACCAGAUCUGUCCAGAUUUUGAAGCAGAACAGAAACAUCCGGGUAUAAAUAUCAUAAUCUCAAGUUCUACUUAUCCAAAUAAGUUCCAGCUUAUACCGUUGGAAAGAAUAGAAAAUUGUCUACAAAUUUUCUAUAGAAUACUUUUCCAAAUUCUAUAGUUAUAUAUGUCUAAAACAGUAAGCAACCGAAACUGAUCCAGGUUCUUGACAGCACAGUUGUAUCAUCUUGUGAUUUUUGUAACUUCCAAACCAUAACAGCUAUGAGGGUGAUUCUUGCGGUCGGAGAAAGAUCUUGAAGUCUAGUUGUUCUUAGAAAAAGUUGAUAGACUUUUCACAAUCAAAAGUUGAGAUACACCAGAACCAUUGCAAACUGCUCCAGAAAUCAGCAAAGAACAGAAACAUGAUAUAACCAAACCCAACUACUUAUUUCAUUACUCCUUAUGCCUUAGGUCUUUAAACUAAAUGAAAUUGUGGAGAAAACCCACAAGAUCAUUGCACUCAUUACAAAGAUCCAAAUCAAACAUAAGCAUAAUGACAAACCAACUAAGCAUUAAAGGUUCACACUUCACUCAACUUACGAUGCUAUCGUUCGCUUCAUCUUAGGGGUUGAGAUCCUAAAACUUAUAUUUCAAAGACGCAAGAAGGUGGUAAGAAAAUGUUCUAAUAGCAUACCAAAUCAAAGGAGUGAAGAUGAGAACAAGUACUUUUGAAAUAAGCAACAAGGUAAAGACAAAUAGCAAGGAUAGGGAUAUAGUAUGGAUGAAAAUACCAAGGUUUAUAGAGCAAGGAUUUUAUGACAAUUCCUAAACCUUAAGACGACAAAUUUCUAACUAGGCUUGCGUCCUACAGUCAGCAUUGCUCUGAUACCACUUUGUAAUACCCGAUUUUAAGGACAAAACCAGAUAUGCACCAUAUGUGAGUUUUAGAAACCAAAUCUCACAUAUAGCUACAAAUAAGGGGUAAUAUCAAAAGACAAUGCGUAAAUAUAUAACGUACUUAGUAUAAAAGAGAUAACCUUUAAUAGCAAACAACGGAUCGACAACUCCAACUUCGGGUAUUAACUUCUCUCCACAGGAUCCAACUGACUGGUUGAUCACAAGCCUAAACUUCUCCUGAGGUUUGGGGGAAAUAGCAAGAGUGAGUCCAUGUCGAACUCCACAAGUAUAGCAACUAGAUUGUAUAACUUCCACAAUCUCAUGACCAAUGUGACAUAAAUAAUGUAAAUCAUUAAACAGUAAACAAUGAGCAUAUUUAACACACAAGAUUCAUCAUCCUUAAUGUAGAUAUCCCCAAGGCCGCUCCUGACCGUGAGCUCGGCUAGUAUACUAGUUUUUAACCCUCUGCAGAGGUUGCACAUCUUUACCCAUGAGUCAUGAUUUACCCUUUCGCCCGAGGUGAUCAGCCUCUUAACCCACUUCCAAGGAAGGUCGGCAGGGAUCACUAUGAAGCAUUUCAAAAGUUCGUCUAACAUGUUAGGGCCGCAAGGUUUCCUUUGCGCGCAGAUAUAGAGCCCCCCUUCCGAUGGCACAAUGACGCGCAGCCUAUACACAUACAGACAGAGGCCACACUAUACCCAAAACGGUUCAGCCCCUCCGCCCUUUCGGGUAACCUCUAACAAGCUAGAAAAGGUCUUCAUACUGAGCUAAAGCCAGAGCCAUUAUAGCCCUCAUGGUUGCACUGUUGUCCCGGGUGAUCACGUACAGACAAAUCAUCAAGUUGCUAAAAAGUCAUUUUUAUCGUUUAUUACUUAACAUUAAUCUAGUCACAGGAUCAUGGUCACAGAAAUAAAAUCCAAAUACUAUACUUGCCUUAAUCCAAUUGCUCUUGCUUAUCCUUUUGGUCCUGUUGGUCUCACAUAUCCAAAACUCUGAUCUUGAUCACCAAAAACUGCUCUCCGUCUAAACUCGAUCAUCGAUCACACAAACAAUCGAAGAAAACAUACACGAAGCAAACAAGGCUACAAUUAGAACAGUACACCAAACAUAUAAAAACAGUAUGAAAAGUUUAUAAAAUGAUUCUACACAUCGCUACGAUCUCGCAGAUGUAGAUCACGAAAAUCGGAGCUAAAACGGAAAAGUUAUGAAUUUUCUAAGAUUUUCUAUAGAAAAUAAAUUAAUUAAAUAUAUAAACUCAUAACGUGACAAAUAUUGUUGCUAACUCAUACCCUUCAAGUUGGUGUGGCCACAACGCAACGAAAACAUAAUUAAAACUCUAGAUUAAUUUUCAUUAGAAAGCUAUUGAUUAAAUAUUAAAUAAAUUACGUUUAAAUCAAUAAAUUCAGAAUUGAGUUACACAAUAAAAGUUUAUACUACUGUGUAGAGUACGUCGAUACGAAUCCAACGCAACUUAAACCACUCAAAUCGGUCGUAAAACGAAUAAACGGCAGGGAUUAAACGAGCAGGGGCAAAACCAUAAUUACCUGUUUCUUCUACCUUGAGCUGCUCGUACAGAACGUGGUGGCCUCUAUGACCAUGGUCGAUCGGAACUCUGCUGGCCGCAUGAAGCAGGGGCUGUGCAGGUGACCAACGAGGGGUGGAAACCAUAGCGUGUCCGGCCGAUGGCCUUGGUGCGGUGGAUGGAGCGCACCCAGCCCAUGCACACGGGGAGAGGGAGCAGGGCCGGCCGGCGGCACUGCCGACGUGCUGCUGCUGCAUCGGACGGCCUAGUAGGCACACCAGGGCGCCGGGAAGGAACCUAGCAGCAAUGAUUUGGAGCCCGCAGAAGCAACUGUCCAGGAGGAUCACGACCGCGACAUGACAUGGCAGAAAACAACAAGAAGAAGAGCAUCCAUCGUGAGUUCACCGGAACAGUUCAUCGGAAAAGAGAAAACGAAAGGCAAACUAUCAAACAGGGUCGGUUUGAUGUAAAUAAGGACACUACAGUGAAGAGAAUAACGAGACGAACCUAGUACUGGUAUUAGUUUUCGCCGGGACACGUAGAGAUGGCCGGAAAACUUCGCCGAACGUUCGCCGGAAGUUCGUCGGAGUUCUAGGUUUCGAAACUUCGGCUUUAGAUCUAGGACGACAGGAGUGGCGGCUCGGAAAAGUGGUCGUACUUUUGGAAUCAGCGCGUCAAGGGCUACGCCGGCAUAUAUAUAGUGUUAGGGUUUGACGUCAUGGAAAAAUUGGAUAUUUUAUUAUUUUCGGAAUCAAUUAAUUUCGUGAAUAAAAAUAAUUCCAAAAAAAAAUCCAGAAUUGAUAUCUAGGGUCUAAAAAAAUACUAUGAAGGCUCCAAAAAUUUGGGGAGAAUUCUUAGAGACACUUUAGAAUAUGAGGAAUCUAAAUGAAGUAUUUGGAGCUCGUGAUAAGAUAAUUUGGAGAAUCUAAAAAUUAGAUUAAGCUCACGGGAAAGGCCGGAAAAAUUCUCAAGAAUUUUUGUAGUGAUCUCUUGAUGGAUGAGAAACUGAAAGGAGUGACUUAGGUUUGAAAGAAAAUAUUCUGAGAGACUCUGAAUGAAAUCUUGAGCUGAGAGACAAGGAAUUUGAUUGUAGAAAAAAAAUAUAUAUGCCCAAGAAGGAAGAUCGAUCUAAUAAACGUAUUUUAAAUAUUUUUCUUACUAUCAACACAUAAAGGAGCAACAAGCAUCACUUCAAAGCAUAUGCACCAGCAUGUAUGCAUAAUAAUAUUGCUAUGCCUUAUAAUAAAUUUUAAUUUAAUAAAAAAUAUUAUUUUUCCUAUAUUUUCAUGAGCACAAAAAUACAAAAUUAAAUAAUUUUAUCUAUAUUUAAAAAGGAAUAAAUUUUAGGGUGUUACAGAGCUCUUUCUUCCAAACAUUGUUUAUAUGGCCGCAUUGUCCAUGUGAAUUUUCUAAAGUAAUUUACUAGAUUAUGCAAAAGUACUUGGUCCAACGAAUUAAAAUGACCAUAUAAUCACGUGAACAUUCGAGUGUUGCACACACUUUGAUGUUUUGGUAUUUUUCCAAAUCUUUCUCCUAUAGACUUAGUUUUAGUGGUCUUUACUUGUUCGAAAUCUUGUAAAAAUAUUUACAACUUGAACAUAUAUAACAACAUAUAGUUUUUAUAUACUCUAAAUGUAACUUCAUAAGACAAGUCCUAUUUAUUCUUCUUUUUAUCAUGAAUUUACUAUCUUUCAGUGAUCUAAGAAAAGUCAUCGAACGUAUCUUAGCAUAUGUAUAUGUUAGUCCGAGUGAUUGGGUUACCAUUUCAAUCAUCGAAACCAUUAAAAGUUUUGGCUAGGUCCAUGUAUCUAUAGUGAUUAUCAGGGAUGGUGACAUAAGAUGCCCGCCCUAUAAAUAGUAACAUUUAAUUACAUAGGUGGGCAUCAUCAUUCAUUAUGCUCUCCUUAUUUUGAUUUUCCACAAGAGGCGACUUGGUCAUUUUUCCUCUAUAAUUAUAAAAAAGGUCUAUGCUGAUUGAUCCUUUCCUGAGUAGCUUGGUAUUAUCUCAGACAAAAUUAGUUACAAUCAGAGAAGUAUAUGAAUGUUAGGAAACAUCAAGGAACAUGCAACAUGCAUUGCAUAAAAACAAAACAGAAUUCGUUGGCCCUGACUAGCCCCUAGCCAACAUAAAACUAUUGUCAAAAUUUACUAAAACAAAUAAAAUUCCACAUUCCAAAACUUGCCAUCUUUAUACGAAAUAUUCUAGGUCCUCUUUUUUGCUGGUUCCAUUUUAUUAUUUGGCCUAUUUAGAAUCCUAGUCACUUAUUGGAACACACUUCUUUUUUUGCGAGAUCCAGUUACAUACGUAGACGUUCACAAACAUGAGUGUGCACUCAGCCCUAUGAACACAUACACACACCCUACCCCUAUGAGCACCUCCGAAGAACCGAGUUGGACUAGCAAAUCUCGAGAUUGACGAAGUCAUCAUAGGCGCCUCGCUGUGGACGGCUACGUUGCCUACCACUGAAAGCAUAGCGCCGUUAAAUCCUAAAAUAAAUUAAGAAAAAUGCGUGCAGCCGUGUCAAGUCAGGGACUUGAACACGGGUGGGCAGGUUCGACCUCAAGGAGCUCAACCAGCUAAUCUGUGAUCAGUUCGCUCGAAACACACCUCCUUGACAAUGCAUCACGGCUAUAUGAGAAGACCGUUUCAUAAAGUUAAAUUAUGUAUUAGUUGAUUUGUGAUAAUAGUUUCAUGUCAUAUGGCUUGGUCCAUUUAGCAAUUAGUGUUGAAAAACAUCACGUGUAAAUUGAAAUUCCGUAGCAUUUCUUCCAUGCUACACAAGGUAAACAUGCUUCAUCGAUUCUUACAUACAUAUAUUUAUUAGAAGUUUAGAAAACCAAAGUACACAGCCACUAUUUUACCAUACAUAAACAAUAUUGUAAAGUGUGUGCAUAUAGCUCCACAACAACACGUGGGAGAACAUAGUAUACUUUAUUUUGUGGAAGCCUACCUCUAAAUAAUCAUAGAAAAUGAAUCUUUGGCAUGCUCAUUGUGUACCCUUGGUCUCUGUAGAAAAUUUAUUUAGAGAUCAAUAUAAUCUCUACGCGGCAGAUGACCACAUGUGUCCAUUGCUUAGACUUGUUCGGUGGUCUUGUAAACUGAGCCGGCCUUGAAGUCGGCAGGGAUCGCAUUAUCGACAACACGGUAGCCACCACCCUUCGCAAGGAAGCGGAAGGCGAUAGGUCCCUCGAUCGGCUCCUUGCUGUCGAGCGUAAAAGUCUUGGGUUCUGACUCCUUGAGGUCGUCUGUGAAAUCUGUGGCUCCCUUGGGCUUGACCGACACCUCGGAGAUGGCGACGUUGGUGAUAAGGGAUAAUUUGGUGGAGGUGGAGUCCUUACCGACCUCGAUGGUGAGCGUAGUCCCGCACGAGCCGAUGGUAAACAGUGCCGCCAAUGCCACC